UCCCGGUUGGCCCGGGCGGUCUCGCCUGAAAAAUACAACAGACGACAAGGGUUGCGCUCGUUGCGGGACUUAACCCAACAUCUCACGACACGAGCUGACGACGGCCAUGCAGCACCUGUCACCGCGUUCCCGAAGGCACAGCACCCUUUCGGGCGCCUUCGCGGGAUGUCAAGCCUCGGUAAGGUUCUUCGCGUAGCAUCGAAUUAAACCACAUGAUCCACUGCUUGUGCGGAUCCCCGUCAAUUCCUUUGAGUUUUAAUCUUGCGAUCGUACUCCCCAGGCGGCAUAUUUAACGCGUUAGCUACUCAGCACAGAGGGUCGAUACUCCAUACUAAUAAUAUGCAUCGUUUACGGCGUGGACUAC
rnacentral:misc_RNA from 1 species